GAUUAACGCUGGCGGCGUGCAUAACACAUGCAAGUCGAACGAUGAAACUUUAAUGAACCCUUCGGGGAGAAUUAAAGCGGAUUAGUGGCGAACGGGUGAGUAACGCGUGAGUAACCUGCCUUACACAAGGGGAUAGCCUUUUGAAACGAAGAAUAAUACCCUAUCAAACCAUAAAAGAACAUGCAAUUAUGGUCAAAGUGAUAGCGGUGUAAGAUGGACUUGCGUCUGAUUAGCUAGUUGGUGAGAUAAAAGCCCACCAAGGCAACGAUCAGUAGCCGGCUUGAGAGAGUGUACGGCCACAUUGGGACUGAGACACGGACCAGACUCCUACGGGAGGCAGCAGUGGGGAAUUGUGCACAAUGGGGGAAACCCUGAUGCAGCGACGCCGCGUGAUUUAGAAGGCCUUCGGGUUGUAAAAAUCCUUUGUAUAGGAAGAAAAUGACAGUACUAUACGAAUAAGGUCCGGCUAAUUACGUG
rnacentral:rRNA from 1 species